CAGCUUGCUGCUUUGCUGACGAGUGGCGGACGGGUGAGUAAUGUCUGGGAAACUGCCUGAUGGAGGGGGAUAACUACUGGAAACGGUAGCUAAUACCGCAUAACGUCGCAAGACCAAAGAGGGGGACCUUAGGGCCUCUUGCCAUCGGAUGUGCCCAGAUGGGAUUAGCUAGUAGGUGGGGUAACGGCUCACCUAGGCGACGAUCCCUAGCUGGUCUGAGAGGAUGACCAGCCACACUGGAACUGAGACACGGUCCAGACUCCUACGGGAGGCAGCAGUGGGGAAUAUUGCACAAUGGGCGCAAGCCUGAUGCAGCCAUGCCGCGUGUAUGAAGAAGGCCUUCGGGUUGUAAAGUACUUUCAGCGGGGAGGAAGGGAGUAAAGUUAAUACCUUUGCUCAUUGACGUUACCCGCAGAAGAAGCACCGGCUAACUCCGUGCCAGCAGCCGCGGUAAUACGGAGGGUGCAAGCGUUAAUCGGAAUUACUGGGCGUAAAGCGCACGCAGGCGGUUUGUUAAGUCAGAUGUGAAAUCCCCGGGCUCAACCUGGGAACUGCAUCUGAUACUGGCAAGCUUGAGUCUCGUAGAGGGGGGUAGAAUUCCAGGUGUAGCGGUGAAAUGCGUAGAGAUCUGGAGGAAUACCGGUGGCGAAGGCGGCCCCCUGGACGAAGACUGACGCUC
rnacentral:rRNA from 2 species